rnacentral:rRNA from 1 species
CAGCCGCCGCGGGAAUACGGAGGGCGCGAGCGUUACCCGGAUUUACUGGGCGUAAAGGGCGUGUAGGCGGCCUGGGGCGUCCCAUGUGAAAGGCCACGGCUCAACCGUGGAGGAGCGUGGGAUACGCUCAGGCUAGAGGGUGGGAGAGGGUGGUGGAAUUCCCGGAGUAGCGGUGAAAUGCGCAGAUACCGGGAGGAACGCCGAUGGCGAAGGCAGCCACCUGGUCCACUUCUGACGCUGAGGCGCGAAAGCGUGGGGAGCAAACCGGAUUAGAUACCCCUGUAGUCCCUGUCUCUUAUAC